rnacentral:tRNA from 1 species
GGGGGUAUAGCUCAAGUGGUAGAGUGCAUGCUUAGCAUGCAUGAAGUGCUGGGUUCAAUCUCCAGUACCCUCC